GACGAACGCUGGCGGCGUGCCUAAUACAUGCAAGUCGAGCGCAGGAAACUGACGGAACUCUUCGGAGGGAAGGCAGUGGAAUGAGCGGCGGACGGGUGAGUAACACGUAAGGAACCUGCCUCAAGGAUUGGGAUAACUCCGAGAAAUCGGAGCUAAUACCGGAUAGUUCAACGGACCGCAUGGUCCGCUGAUGAAAGGCGCUCCGGCGUCACCUUGAGAUGGCCUUGCGGUGCAUUAGCUAGUUGGUGGGGUAACGGCCCACCAAGGCGACGAUGCAUAGCCGACCUGAGAGGGGGAUCGGCCACACUGGGACUGAGACACGGCCCAGACUCCUACGGGAGGCAGCAGUAGGGAAUCUUCCACAAUGGACGAAAGUCUGAUGGAGCAACGCCACGUGAGUGAUGAAGGUUUUCGGAUCAUAAAACUCUGUUGUAAGGGAAGAACACGUACGAGAGGGAAUGCUCGUACCUUGACGGUACCUUACGAGAAAGCCACGGCUAACUACGUGCCAGCCGCCGCCGUAAGAC
rnacentral:rRNA from 1 species